rnacentral:rRNA from 1 species
CAGGCUUAACACAUGCAAGUCGAGGGGCAGCAUCAUCAAAGCUUGCUUUGAUGGAUGGCGACCGGCGCACGGGUGAGUAACACGUAUCCAACCUGCCGACAACACUGGGAUAGCCUUUCGAAAGAAAGAUUAAUACCGGAUGGCAUAGUUUUCCCGCAUGGGAUAAUUAUUAAAGAAUUUCGGUUGUCGAUGGGGAUGCGUUCCAUUAGGCAGUUGGCGGGGUAACGGCCCACCAAACUUACGAUGGAUAGGGGUUCUGAGAGGAAGGUCCCCCACAUUGGAACUGAGACACGGUCCAAACUCCUACGGGAGGCAGCAGUGAGGAAUAUUGGUCAAUGGACGAGAGUCUGAACCAGCCAAGUAGCGUGAAGGAUGACUGCCCUAUGGGUUGUAAACUUCUUUUAUACGGGAAUAAAGUGAGCCACGUGUGGCUUUUUGUAUGUACCGUAUGAAUAAGGAUCGGCUAACUCCGUGCCAGCAGCCGCGGUAAUACGGAGGAUUCGAGCGUUAUCCGGAUUUAUUGGGUUUAAAGGGAGCGUAGGCGGGUUGUUAAGUCAGUUGUGAAAGUUUGCGGCUCAACCGUAAAAUUGCAGUUGAUACUGGCGACCUUGAGUGCAACAGAGGUAGGCGGAAUUCGUGGUGUAGCGGUGAAAUGCUUAGAUAUCACGAAGAACUCCGAUUGCGAAGGCAGCUUACUGGAUUGUAACUGACGCUGAUGCUCGAAAGUGUGGGUAUCAAACAGGAUUAGAUACCCUGGUAGUCCACACAGUAAACGAUGAAUACUCGCUGUUGGCGAUAUACAGUCAGCGGCCAAGCGAAAGCAUUAAGUAUUCCACCUGGGGAGUACGCCGGCAACGGUGAAACUCAAAGGAAUUGACGGGGGCCCGCACAAGCGGAGGAACAUGUGGUUUAAUUCGAUGAUACGCGAGGAACCUUACCCGGGCUUAAAUUGCAACUGACGGAACCGGAAACGGUUCUUUCUUCGGACAGUUGUGAAGGUGCUGCAUGGUUGUCGUCAGCUCGUGCCGUGAGGUGUCGGCUUAAGUGCCAUAACGAGCGCAACCCUUACGGGUAGUUACCAUCAGGUUAUGCUGGGGACUCUACCCGGACUGCCGUCGUAAGAUGUGAGGAAGGUGGGGAUGACGUCAAAUCAGCACGGCCCUUACGUCCGGGGCUACACACGUGUUACAAUGGGGGGUACAGAAGGCAGCUACACGGCGACGUGGUGCUAAUCCCAAAAGCCUCUCUCAGUUCGGAUUGGAGUCUGCAACCCGACUCCAUGAAGCUGGAUUCGCUAGUAAUCGCGCAUCAGCCACGGCGCGGUGAAUACGUUCCCGGGCCUUGUACACACCGCCCGUCAAGCCAUGGGAGCCGGGGGUACCUGAAGUGCGUAACCGAAAGGAGCGCCCUAGGGUAAAACUGGUGACUGGGGC